GACGUAGGGUCCGAGCGUUGUCCGGACUUACUGGGCGUAAAGAGCGCGUAGGCGGUCCGUUAAGUGUAGAGUGAAAGCUCCGGGCUCAACCCGGAAAUUGCUCUGCAUACUGGCGGACUCGAGGGUGGCAGAGGUUUGUGGAAUUCCUGGUGUAGCGGUGAAAUGCGUAGAUAUCGAGAGGAACACCUGCGGCGAAGGCGGGUUGCUGGGCUGACACUGACGCUGAUGCGCGAAAGCUAGGGGAGCGAACGGG
rnacentral:rRNA from 1 species